AUUGAACGCUGGCGGCAGGCCUAACACAUGCAAGUCGAGCGAGCGGCGGACGGGUGAGUAAUGUCUGGGAAACUGCCCGAUGGAGGGGGAUAACUACUGGAAACGGUAGCUAAUACCGCAUACUAUCAGAUGUGCCCAGAUGGGAUUAGCUAGUAGGUGGGGUAACGGCUCACCUAGGCGACGAUCGCUAGCUGGUCUGAGAGGAUGAUCAGCCACACUGGAAUUGAGACACGGCCCAGAUGCCUCCGGGAGGAAGCAGUGGGGAAUAUUGCACAAGGGGCGCAAUCCUGAUGCAGCCAUGCGGCGUGGAUGAAGAAGGCUUCAGGGUUGGAAAGUACUUUCAGCGGGGAGGCGUUACCCGCAGAAGAAGCACCGGCUAACUCCGUGCCAGCAGCCGCGGUAAUAC
rnacentral:rRNA from 1 species